GCCUUUGUGAUGGAAUGGUAGACAUAUCGACUUCAAAAGUCGACACCUUUUAGGUGUACCGGUUCAAGUCCGGUCAGGGGCA
rnacentral:tRNA from 1 species